rnacentral:rRNA from 1 species
AAGGGGCGUCAGAGAGGGUGAGAACCCCGUCGGGCCGGGACCCUGCUGCUCCACGAGGCGCUGUCUACGAGUCGGGUUGCUUGGGAAUGCAGCCCUAAGCGGGAGGUAAAUUCCUUCCAAGGCUAAAUACGCGCGGGAGACCGAUAGCGAACAAGUACCGCGAGGGAAAGAUGAAAAGGACUUUGAAAAGAGAGUCAAAGAGUGCUUGAAAUUGCUGAGAGGGAAGCGAAUGGAGGCCCCAUCUGUGCGCCCCGGUCGGAUGCGGAACGGCGUUCGCGCUGGUCCGCCGCUCGACGCGGGGCGCUGGUCGGCGUGGGCUUCCCCGGCCGGGAUGAAGGAGGCGGGCUUCGGCCCGGCUCCCGUCUCGCCGUCCGGGAGGCCGAGGUAUCCACGAAGCGCGCGUCCCCUCGGGACGGGCGGCCCUCGGGCCGCACCUGCGCGCUCUGGACGCCGGCGCCGCGGGCUUUCCUCCGACCCGUCUUGAAACCCGACCAGGAGUCUAASMUGCAUGCGAGUCGGUGGGCGGCAAACCCACGGAGGCGCAAAUAACUUGACUGGUGUGAUCCCCUCCCCGCGGGGGGUGCAACCUCGACCGACCCCGAUCUUCUGUGAAGGGUUCGAGUAAGAGCAUGCCUGUUGGGACCCGAAAGAUGGUGAACUAUGCCCGAGCAGGGCGAAGCCAGAGGAAACUCUGGUGGAGGCUCGUAGCGAUACUGACGUGCAAAUCGUUCGUCAGACUCGGGUAUAGGGGCGAAAGACUAAUCGAACCAUCUAGUAGCUGGUUCCCUCCGAAGUUUCCCUCAGGAUAGCCGGAGCACGAAGGAGUUUCAUCGGGUAAAGCGAAUGAUUAGAGGCAUCGGGGGUGARACACCCUCGACCUAUUCUCAAACUUUAAAUAGGUGAGAUCCGACCAUUCCAAGGG